GAAAUAGAAUGAGUGUCAUGAAGCCUCUCACAGACUCCUGGAGCCUCAGCCAAGAUCUCCAUCAAAGCUGCUAGCUCAUGAAGAAGAUCCACAAACACCAGUAGUAUUCUCAACUGAAAGGUAGGCUCGAGCAAGGAAUGAAGCCGUCUGCCAACAACUAAAGCCGUCUGCCAACAACUAACACCAACUUGCCAGCCAAUAAGUAAGCCAUCUUGGAAGUGGAUCCUCCAGCCUUGGUCAAGACUGAAGAUGACCACAGCAGCAGCCAGCAUCUUGACUGUAACCUCAUGAGAGACCCUGAGCCAGAAGCACCCAGCUAAGCUGCUCCUCAAUACCUAACCCACAGAAACUUUGCAGGUGUAACAUGCACAAUCGACAUGCCCAGUAUUCACCAACUUACUGUACAAUACCAUCCUACCACCCUUACAUCAGUACCAUGGAGACGCCACCUGCCAAAUCAGAGGAAUCCAGUUGUUUCCAGAAGUUGCCCUUCUCUAAUAAGUGCAAAGAGACUCAUUCAUGUUCUGGAUACAGUCUUGGGAAGAGAAACCGAAGGACUCCAUUGAGGAUCCAGAAUGAUGAUUUGCAAAGGAGUACCUCCUGGAGGAAAAGGCUGAGGCUGGGAUCUGAAGAUAAAACUGACCUACUUCACAGUUUUACUUGGGGCCAGCAGAACAUUUUUUCACUGAGCUGAGUCUUUUGAAGCUUGUAAAAUUCACCCCAGAGAGCAAUCAGAGGAACCUUAAUUUGGGAGUCCAGAGUAAUCCUAAAAUGAAAGGAGGCACUGUCUAUCAGUCAUCAUCAAGGAUGAAAAAUGAACAUGAACAUCCUCUGUGUAGCUGCUGGUCCCAGAAUGAGGAAGACAUGUGGAACAGACCUGAGCCCAGCCCAAAGCCUGGACUCCAGCCUAGUCCAGUUUGGCCCAGCCAAGCCCAAGCCAUAUCAUGAGAACCACAGCCAACCUGCAGUCCUCGAGUGAGAAAAAUAAAUGCUUUUAUAAGUCAUGGA